AUUAAAAUACAAAAACGAAAACCAUUUUCGUUCACAGUUCACACGCAGAAAACUCUCUCACACAAAACUCAAAAUCGGAGCUCAUCUCAGAAAAGUCGAUGAUCGGAGCUCAUCUCUCUUAUCCGACGGGUUGAGGCGCGGUGGUCGACGAUCUCAUCUCCGACGACGAGCCCUCUCCGCCGCCCCAUUGUCCGAUUACAGGUCCAUGGAGGCAUUGGGCUGAUCUGGGUAACAAUCCGCCGAAUAACCCGUUGAGGUAUAACGUUCAUUUUUCUAGGUAUUUCAGCAAUACUGUUUUUCUUUCUAUCUUUCUCUCUUUCUUUUCUUUUUUUUUUGUGUGUGUGUGUGUGUUGAUGGGUGCAGAAAUCUUGGUAAUAAUCCGCUGAAUAACCUGUUGAGUGAUAUGUUUGGAAAACUUUCAAAACUGAAAGAGAUGUAAGUAUUACUAACAUGGCAGAAAAUGUCUUCUUUAAGUGAGGUGCUUUUUGUUGGGCUUUGUGGUGUUUUAGUUGUGUUUGAUUCGGUUGACGACCCGAAAUAAUGUUGCGUGAUUUUUAAUGGGAGAUUUUCUGAGGUUUAGUCUAUGGAGCGGCCCAAGCCGAAAAUUUUUUGGCCCGUUUUGUAGCCCAUUGUGAAUCUUGUGCGUAGGAUAUAGAAACCGUUUUUUGGUGAUUAGGGUUUUGUUGUUGUUGUCGUUCUUGAGAGACUGAAAAACUGUAGCUGCACUUUGUAAUUUUUCUCUGAUAAUAGAAAAAUCUUUGCAA